rnacentral:lncRNA from 1 species
UUUAGUAGAGACGGGGGAGACAGUAGUUUAAAUAAGUCCUGGCGUGAAUGCCUUACCCAGAGGGGGCAUAAAAUGAGGGGUCUAAGGCCAGCACCCUGGGAAAUGUCAACGUAAGAACUGCCAGGGGAGGAGGAUCCAGGAAGGGUCAGUGAUGGGGAUGACAAAGGGGGUGUCAUGGGGAAAAGGGCAGAGGAGGAGGGACUAGUGACCACCUCUGCUCUGAGGUCAUGUGGAGCAAGACUGAAAAGAGGCCGGGGAUUGGGAAAUGAGGCCACUGGUGGCCUUGUCCCUGGCGGCUCUGGGAUGUGGGCCAGAAGCCAGUCCCUGGUGUUGAAAUAGGAUCCAAAGGUGAAGAAGGGAGUGUAGAUGUAUCUUUAAAAUUUGACUGUGGGAGGGAGGGUGGUUUUGGUUUUUGCCAUGUUGGUGUUUUAAAAGCAGCAGGGAGUUGAGCUGCUUGUGGACUGGAAGGAAGGAGCCAGCAGACAGGGAGGAGAGGAGGGGAAGUGGGUAGUGAAGGGGAGAGAGAAUAGCCAGGGGUGGUGGGCAGAAGGAGAGGAAAUGGAACCCUAGAGGCCUGGGCAGGAGGCCUCUUGCUGUUGAGCUGCGGCCGGCUGUAUUUUGAGACCUUAACCUUCACCUUCUCAGCUGUGUUGGAUGCGGCCUCCAGAGGCCCAGGAGAGGUGGGGAUCAGACGGGGUUCAACAGGGAGCCAGAACCAUGAGAACAGCUCAACUCCAAAUAGGCGCAUUUCCAUCGCCUCCAUCGCCGCUGUAGCUGGUGGCUGUCAGAUUGGACAGCACGGUAGAGGCGGGUCAGGAAAUGCAAGGAGAGCACUUUUGGAAGCGUCUGGAUCCUGGGCCCUCGGGGAGGGCAGGGCCUGGGUCCUGAUGUGAGGAGCCUGGAGCCUGUCCGUGGCCGAGAGGGCCUCCUUCCUCCUUCCUGGCCGACACGUCACCUGCUCCGUCCAGUCCACGAGAAGCAGCUGUGGCCCAAGCCCAUGACCUGCCUUUCUUCCCCAGCGUCACCAUCUGUGGCAGCCUGGGAUACGCAUGAGCUCCUCAGGAGGGCGGAGCUCCGUGGAACACACAUCUGGAUGACAGGAGGGAGCCAGGAGCUGUGAGAAGACGGGGGAGCUGCCGCCGCAAGAAUGCAAGACCCACGGGCUCUACGAUGCGGGGGAGCAGCGGGCAUCUGAGGAAGGGGCGUCAGGGGCACAUGGCCAGCCCUCUUCACCCCACAGUCUGCCCCAGGCCAGCCCCACUAGGAGUGACCCAUUUUCUCCUAGCAGGAUUCCUUGCAUGGGGUGGCCUGGACCCAAAACACCCGCUCUGAGGAUUCCCUGUUAACCACAGAGAAGGUUGACUCAAGUUUCUUUAUUUGGCCAUGAAACUGUGGGGCAUCUCACGGUGCUUCUUGGGUCCACUGGAGAGCCCUGGAAGCUCAGAAGAGGCAAGAGGGGCCUACUUCUCCCUUGUUUGGGCUUUGUUUGCUAAAUACCAAUAUUAGAUUAGGCAACUCUGCAAACAAAACCAAGGCCUGGCCAGCUGCCCAGGGUGUUUAAAGUCCAAGACAUGAAGGCAGGACGUGUGCCCGUGGACUUGCACACGCAAGCAGGCCGAGGGGAGAGCAGCCCGGCAGAGACCUUGGUGGUCCAGGGCUGAGCAAAGGCUUCCCCCACCGGUCCAUCCCAGUGCGCUCAGCACAGGAGUUAGCGGCCACACACUUCAACCAUUGUCUUAUUUUAGAAAAUGACAUCUGCUGGGCGCGGUGACUCACGCCUGUAAUCCCAGCAUUUUGAGAGGGCAAGGUCAGGAGUGAUCACUUUGGGUGGACCACGAGGUCAGGAGUUCAAGAUCAGCCUGGCCAACAUGGUGAAACUCCGUCUCUAC